AGUGAACGCUGGCGGUAGGCCUAACACAUGCAAGUCGAACGGCAGCACAGUAAGAGCUUGCUCUUACGGGUGGCGAGUGGCGGACGGGUGAGGAAUACAUCGGAAUCUACUUUUUCGUGGGGGAUAACGUAGGGAAACUUACGCUAAUACCGCAUACGACCUACGGGUGAAAGCAGGGGAUCUUCGGACCUUGCGCGAUUCAAUGAGCCGAUGUCGGAUUAGCUAGUUGGCGGGGUAAAGGCCCACCAAGGCGACGAUCCGUAGCUGGUCUGAGAGGAUGAUCAGCCACACUGGAACUGAGACACGGUCCAGACUCCUACGGGAGGCAGCAGUGGGGAAUAUUGGACAAUGGGCGCAAGCCUGAUCCAGCCAUACCGCGUGGGUGAAGAAGGCCUUCGGGUUGUAAAGCCCUUUUGUUGGGAAAGAAAAGCAGCAGGUGAAUACCCCGCUGUUCUGACGGUACCCAAAGAAUAAGCACCGGCUAACUUCGUG
rnacentral:rRNA from 1 species